ensembl:lncRNA
GGGGGCCCCAGACACACAGGCAAUAUGCAACAUAAACCACUCAUGGCCCUGCGCUGCUAGGGUGCCCCCAGCACACAGCCAAUAUGCACAAUAUCACUCAGGCCCUGGGCUCUAUGGGCCCCAGACACACAGCCAAAUUGCAACAUAACACUCACGGGCCUUCGGCUGCUAGGGGGCCCCAGAACACCACACCAAUAGCAACAUAACACUCCUGGGGCGGGGGUCACCGGGUUGCCUGGCGGGGGUCACCGGGUUGCCUGGGCGGGUCCUGGUGUCACAGGUUGCCUGGCGCGGUGGCCCUGGGUCAAGGUUUGCCUGGGCCGGGGCCCUGGGUCACAGGUUUGCCUGGCCGGGGGCCUGGGUCACAGGUUUGCCUGGGCCGGGGGGCCCUGGGUCACAGGUUGCCUGGGCCGGGGGCCCUGGGUCACAGGUUUGCCUUGGCCGGGGCCCUGGGUCACAGGUUUGCCUGGGGCCGGGGCCCUGGGGUCACCGGUUUUGCCUGGGCGGGGGCCCUGGGUCACCGGUUUGCCUGGGCCGGGGCCCUGGGUCACCAGUUUGCCUGGGCGGUGGUCCCUGGGCCACAGCCAUUUUUCAUGGGAAAAGUCCCCUAUAUAUUUUUCUCCACAAGAGAAAGACACCACCCCUAAAAAAGCCUUUGUAAAUGCUCUCUCUCGUCAGUGCAGUAGGACUAAGGUAAAGUCCCAUCUCCUCUCUCUCGUCAGUGCAGUAGGACGGACUAAGGUAAAGUCUCUGUGGACAUAAUGUAUCAUCUCUCUCUCGUCAGUGCAGUAGGACUAAGGUUAAGUCUCUGGGACAUAAUGUAUCACUCUCUCUCUCCAUCAACAGAUAUGUAAAGUUAUAUUAGUUCAAACAGCACUAUCGAUGUGUAUCAGUUGGUCCUGGUUGAUUAUCUACAUGUGCAUACAGUCCUGUGUUUGUUAGUGCCACAUGAGAGGAAUACAUGGUUCAUGACCAACAAACGAUCCUCCGUCCACCUCAACCUCCUCGCUUUGCUCAUGCGGCCCAAAUAUGUGGAACAAACAUUGUCCUAAACAUUCAGAUCCGUACUAUUCAGUAGUUAGGCAAUAGAGUGUACUUACAGUAUAUGUGACCUAAAACUGUUCCUCCCUGUAUGGUCUCUUCUCUGUGAAACUGACCCUGUCGAAGUGGUUUGAAGGGGCUCUGAACUCGUUCAUCUGGUCCUGGCUGAUGCCCUUGGCAUCCCGCGUCAGAAUCUGGUUCUCGAUCUCGUUGAUGGUUCUGGCGAUGGUGGUCAGGAGCUGCUCCCAGCCCACACGGAAUGCUUCAGGGAGGGAUGAUGAGAGGGAGGGAGAGAGAGCGGGGGGAGGGGGAGAGGGACAAAGGGAGGAGGCGGAGAGGGAGAGAGAAAGGGACGCGGGAGGGGGACGAGAGAGGGCGAGGAGAGAGAGGGAGAGGUGAAAGGAGAAGAAGGGAAAGGGAGGGAGGGACAAGAGAGGGAGGGAGGGAGAGGGACAGAGGGAGAGAGGGAGAGGAGGAGAGAGGAGAGGGGGAGGAGGGACAGGUGAGAGAGGGACGAGUGAGAGGGACAGAGUGAGAGAGGGACAGGGGAAGAGAGUGAGCGGAGGGACAGAGUGAAGAGAGGGACAGAGGGACGAGGAGAGCGGGACAGGGGACCGAGAGGACAGAGGGAGAGGGAGAGGGAAGGGGAGAGGACGAGGAGGGAGGAGGGAGGAGAGAGGGGAGAGGGAGGAGGAGGAGGGAGGAGGGAGAGGGAGGGAGGAGGAGAGAGGGAGGAGGACGGAGACAGGAUGGAAGGACAGGAGGGAGAGAGGAGGAGAGAGAGGGAAAGAGAGACGAGAAACAGAUGACACGGUAGAGAGAGGGGAAAGAGAGGAGAAAUGAUUGAAGAAAAGAAGUUGAGACAUCAAGAAGUUUGAAGAUGGUUGUCGUAAA